rnacentral:rRNA from 1 species
UACAGAAGGUGCGAGCGUUAAUCGGAAUUACUGGGCGUAAAGGGUGCGUAGGUGGUUUUGUAAGUUAAGUGUGAAAGUCCUGGGCUUAACCUGGGGAUUGCGCCUAAUACUGCAAAGCUAGAGUACUGUAGAGGAAAGUGGAAUUUCCAGUGUAGCGGUGAAAUGCGUAGAUAUCGGGAGGAACACCUGUGGCGAAAGCGGCGCACUGGACCACAACUGACGCUGAGGCGCGAAAGCUAGGGGAGCAAACAGG